AUGAGAUCUACUUUUACAUCACUGGAUUGAGGAUUUCUGAAAAACAGACAGAAAAUGUCUUGGUCUGUUCACUAGAAUCUUCGGCUGUAUAUAUUUUACAAAAGGAGAAAGUGUGGAAUAGUUUUCUAUGAACAUUCUUAGAAUAAAUAAUGUGAAUGUUUACUCAGGUAUCUCCAUCAACACACUAGGAAGGUUUUUCCAAACAAUUGUUGUGAACUAGCUGCAGUGCUUUCUGGAUGGAGAGAGGGAUUGCUUUUCUCUGCUAAUGUACUCUGAGGACAAACCUAGGAAAUGUGCAGAAUGUGCUCAGAUGCUGUGAUGGGCUUAUAUCCUCAUGCAGGUAGAAAGCUCAUGGCCUGGAUCCCCAAGGGACUGACGUGUCUGCUGUUGUCCUGAAUGACUGCUGGUUUUGACUUUGGAAAAGUUUUAAUUAACUCUGUAUAACAGCUGAACAGUGGCAAGUGAGUUGUAAACUUCCCGCCAUGAGUUUCCAAGAAAAAAGAUAGAAAAUCAAGACUAAAGCAAGGGGCACACAGCUUUUGGAGCAGAGCAGCACCAG
ensembl:lncRNA